AUUGAACGCUGGCGGCAUGGCUAAAGCAUGCAAGUCGAACGGACCCGCAAGGGGUCAGUGGCGAAAGGGUCAGUAAUACGAUCGAACGUACCCUGAGGUGUGGGAUAGCCGCGGGGAAACUGUGGGUAAUACCACAUGUGCUCUACGGAGGAAGGCCGCAAGGCGCCUCGGGAGCGGCGAUCGUCCUAUCAGGUAGUUGGCGGGGUAAUGGCCCACCAAGCCGAAGACGGGUAGCGGGUGNGAGAGCACGGCCCGCGACAUCGGGACUGAGACACUGCCCGGACUCCUACGGGAGGCUGCAGCGACGAAUCUUCCGCAAUGGGCGAAAGCCUGACGGAGCAAUGCCGCGUGCGGGAUGAAGCGGCUACGCCGU
rnacentral:rRNA from 1 species